GAUGAACGCUGGCGGCGUGCCUAAUACAUGCAAGUCGAGCGAACAGACGAGGAGCUUGCUCCUCUGACGUUAGCGGCGGACGGGUGAGUAACACGUGGAUAACCUACCUAUAAGACUGGGAUAACUUCGGGAAACCGGAGCUAAUACCGGAUAAUAUAUUGAACCGCAUGGUUCAAUAGUGAAAGACGGUUUUGCUGUCACUUAUAGAUGGAUCCGCGCCGCAUUAGCUAGUUGGUAAGGUAACGGCUUACCAAGGCAACGAUGCGUAGCCGACCUGAGAGGGUGAUCGGCCACACUGGAGCGGAGACACGGUCCAGACUCCUACGGGAGGCAGCAGUAGGGAAUCUUCCGCAAUGGGCGAAAGCAUGACGGAGCAACGCCGCGUGAGUGAUGAAGGUCUUCGGAUCGUAAAACUCUGUUAUUAGGGAAGAACAAAUGUGUAAGUAACUAUGCACGUCUUGACGGUACCUAAUCAGAAAGCCACGGCUAACUACGUG
rnacentral:rRNA from 1 species